ensembl:snoRNA
CCUAUCGCUAGAGGUGUGGGAGACGUGACUACUGUAUCACAUGUGUGCCAGGAAGUGGUCAAAAGGAGAGAGGCCAUAUCUGCACUCAGUGUGCUGACCUGUGGACAUCUGAAUGAUGAAUAGCCUAGCCUA